CAAGAGUUAGAUAAAAUUGCUGCCUCAUUCUACUAAUAAGAAAAAGUGAGUCUCCAAAAGAUGUUUGCCUAAGGUCAAGUAGCUAACAGGUGGCAGAAUCUGGAUUUGAACCUAGAUCUCUCAGAUGCUAAAGCUUGACCAUCCUGCUACAGCAACCAGAGCCCAGGAAACCCACCUAUGACGGGGCAGAGAUGGAGUAACAGAUCAGAGGGGUUCAGCUCACAAAUCAAAAGAUGCUUUUCCCUCCCUGCCGCUAAAUCUGCAGCCUCUCCCAGACACCUCACAAAUCCUGCUUUGAUCUUGAUUAGCCUGGAUGCUUCUAGGUUGGAAAAGGCUCUUUUUCUCAAUUGUCAAAUGGAAAUAAGAGCCACUCUAGCCUUAUGGCUAAGGAACUGGAGCUUCAGAAUCAAGCAGAACUGGGUUCAACUCCCACCUAUGUCCUGUGUGGCCUCAGGCAAGUCACAUCACCUCUCUGAGCCUCCAUUCCUUCAUCUGAAAAAUGGGCUUCCAGCAAUUCUGGCCUCUCAGAGUCAUUGUGAGAAUGACUCAAGAUGAUGCACAUAGAAGUGUUUAGCACUUGAAUGUCUUCUAGCAAGAUCAGGAAACAUCACCUAUUACUACUAAAUGGGGCUUUGGCCUACAGCCUGGCAUGCAUAUCCACUGGCCGGCCCACCAGAAGCCAUAUUAGACUAAGAGGUGACUCAGGAUGGCCAUGCACUGGAGGUAGUAAAGCAGAGAGAAAGGAUUCUGCCUGAUGACAGCCUACAGCCUCCAUUACCAGGCCUGGACCAAUCACCUAUGGACUUUUUCUACAUGAGAUAAUAAACCAUUAUAUGUUUAAAUCUG